GCCGCCGUAGCUCAACGGCAGAGCGCCCGGCUGUUAACCGGGGGCGUGGGAGUUCGAAUCUUCCCGGCGGCG
rnacentral:tRNA from 1 species